UACAGAGGGUGCAAGCGUUGUUCGGAAUUAUUGGGCGUAAAGCGCGUGUAGGCGGCUUUGCAAGUCGGGUGUGAAAGCCCUCAGCUCAACUGAGGAAGUGCGCCCGAAACUGCAGAGCUUGAGUGCCGGAGAGGGUGGCGGAAUUCCCCAAGUAGAGGUGAAAUGCGUAGAUAUCUGGAGGAACACCGGUGGCGAAGGCGGCAUCCUGGACCAACACUGACGCUGAGGAGCGAAAGCCAGGGGAGCAAACGGG
rnacentral:rRNA from 1 species